rnacentral:rRNA from 1 species
AUUGAACGCUGGCGGCAUGCCUUACACAUGCAAGUCGAACGGUAACAGGUCUUCGGAUGCUGACGAGUGGCGAACGGGUGAGUAAUGCAUCGGAACGUGCCCAGUCGUGGGGGGUAACGCAGCGAAAGCUGUGCUAAUACCGCAUACGAUCUGCGGAUGAAAGCGGGGGACCUUCGGGCCUCGCGCGAUUGGAGCGGCCGAUGUCAGAUUAGGUAGGUGGUGGGGUAAAGGCUCACCAAGCCAACGAACUGUAACUGGUCUGAGAGGACGACCAGCCACACUGGGACUGAGACACGGCCCAGACUCCUACGGGAGGCAGCAGUGGGGAAUUUUGGACAAUGGGCGCAAGCCUGAUCCAGCAAUGCCGCGUGCAGGAAGAAGGCCUUCGGGUUGUAAACUGCUUUUGUACGGAGCGAAAAGGCUCCCUCUAAUACAGGGGGCUCAUGACGGUACCGUAAGAAUAAGCACCGGCUAACUACGUGCCAGCAGCCGCGGUAAGAC